rnacentral:rRNA from 1 species
CGCUAGCGACAGGCUUAACACAUGCAAGUCGAGGGGCAUCGGGGUUGUAGCAAUACAACUGCCGGCGACCGGCGCACGGGUGAGUAACACGUAUGUAACCUGCCCUCUGCAGGGGGAUAAGCGGAAGAAAUUCCGUCUAAUACCGCAUAAUACAAUUUGGAGACAUCUCCGGGUUGUCAAAGGAGUGAUCCGGCAGAGGAUGGACAUGCGGCGCAUUAGCUAGUCGGCGGGGUAACGGCCCACCGAGGCUACGAUGCGUAGGGGUUCUGAGAGGAAGGUCCCCCACACUGGUACUGAGACACGGACCAGACUCCUACGGGAGGCAGCAGUGAGGAAUAUUGGUCAAUGGGCGGAAGCCUGAACCAGCCAAGUCGCGUGAGGGAAGACGGUCCUAUGGAUUGUAAACCUCUUUUGCAGGGGAGCAAGGCGCGGUACGUGUACCGCGAAGGAGAGUACCCUGAGAAAAAGCAUCGGCUAACUCCGUGCCAGCAGCCGCGGUAAUACGGAGGAUGCGAGCGUUAUCCGGAUUUAUUGGGUUUAAAGGGUGCGCAGGCGGACUGUUAAGUCAGCGGUAAAAUGUCGGUGCUCAACACCGGCCGGCCGUUGAAACUGGCAGCCUUGAGUGAGCGAGAAGUAUGCGGAAUGCGUGGUGUAGCGGUGAAAUGCAUAGAUAUCACGCAGAACUCCGAUUGCGAAGGCAGCAUACCGGCGCUCAACUGACGCUCAGGCACGAAAGCGUGGGUAUCGAACAGGCUUAGAUACCCUGGUAGUCCACGCAGUAAACGAUGAAUGCUCACUGUCCGGGCCGUUUAAGGCCUGGGUGGUCAAGCGAAAGCGUUAAGCAUUCCACCUGGGGAGUACGCCGGCAACGGUGAAACUCAAAGGAAUUGACGGGGGCCCGCACAAGCGGAGGAACAUGUGGUUUAAUUCGAUGAUACGCGAGGAACCUUACCCGGGCUCAAACGGAAGGGGACAGUAUGAGAAAUCAUACAUUCCUUCGGGACCGCUUCCGAGGUGCUGCAUGGUUGUCGUCAGCUCGUGCCGUGAGGUGUCGGCUUAAGUGCCAUAACGAGCGCAACCCCUAUCGACAGUUGCUAGCAGGUAAAGCUGAGGACUCUGUCGAGACUGCCGGCGCAAGCUGUGAGGAAGGCGGGGAUGACGUCAAAUCAGCACGGCCCUUACGUCCGGGGCGACACACGUGUUACAAUGGCAGGUACAGCGGGAGGCCACCCGGCGACGGGGCGCAGAACACGAAAACCUGUCUCAGUUCGGAUUGGAGUCUGCAACCCGACUCCAUGAAGCUGGAUUCGCUAGUAAUCUUUUGGAGGCCACGGCGCGGUGAAUACGUUCCCGGGCC